rnacentral:lncRNA from 10 species
CCCUCAAACCACAGUGACCUCAUCUGAACUCAAUUAUGAAAUUCUGACACUUAGACUUUAGCAACUGGCCCUACCACAAGAAAAAGUUUUCAUUCUUUUCUCAAGAUAAAUUUUAAAGCAAAACUAAACCCAAGUUGGUGGGAGCAGAACAGAUCUGUCUGAGAACAAGGGGAGCACCCUGAGGCAGCACAGGGCUGAUGCUUGGUGGCUUCUCUUCUCCUCUCUGCCCUUUGAGAUGGAAUGUGGGGCAGGCAGAAAGCACUACUCUCCAGGUCAGGAGACCUGCACCCUGGCUUGUCCACUAAACUUGUCAGCUGUAUCCAUCUCUACGGGUCCCUGAGGAGGUUUGAUUUGCUUAGGUUUGAGAUCUAAAGAAGAAAAAAGGACGGCUGGC